ACCGGGGGAACUGAAACAUCUAAGUACCCCGAGGAAAAGAAAUCAACCGAGAUUCCCCCAGUAGCGGCGAGCGAACGGGGAGGAGCCCAGAGCCUGAAUCAGUGUGUGUGUUAGUGGAAGCGUCUGGAAAGGCGCGCGAUACAGGGUGACAGCCCCGUACACAAAAAUGCACAUGCUGUGAGCUCGAUGAGUAGGGCGGGACACGUGGUAUCCUGUCUGAAUAUGGGGGGACCAUCCUCCAAGGCUAAAUACUCCUGACUGACCGAUAGUGAACCAGUACCGUGAGGGAAAGGCGAAAAGAACCCCGGCGAGGGGAGUGAAAAAGAACCUGAAACCGUGUACGUACAAGCAGUGGGAGCACGCUUAGGCGUGUGACUGCGUACCUUUUGUAUAAUGGGUCAGCGACUUAUAUUCUGUAGCAAGGUUAACCGAAUAGGGGAGCCGAAGGGAAACCGAGUCUUAACUGGGCGUUAAGUUGCAGGGUAUAGACCCGAAACCCGGUGAUCUAGCCAUGGGCAGGUUGAAGGUUGGGUAACACUAACUGGAGGACCGAACCGACUAAUGUUGAAAAAUUAGCGGAUGACUUGUGGCUGGGGGUGAAAGGCCAAUCAAACCGGGAGAUAGCUGGUUCUCCCCGAAAGCUAUUUAGGUAGCGCCUCGUGAAUUCAUCUCCGGGGGUAGAGCACUGUUUCGGCAAGGGGGUCAUCCCGACUUACCAACCCGAUGCAAACUGCGAAUACCGGAGAAUGUUAUCACGGGAGACACACGGCGGGUGCUAACGUCCGUCGUGAAGAGGGAAACAACCCAGACCGCCAGCUAAGGUCCCAAAGUCAUGGUUAAGUGGGAAACGAUGUGGGAAGGCCCAGACAGCCAGGAUGUUGGCUUAGAAGCAGCCAUCAUUUAAAGAAAGCGUAAUAGCUCACUGGUCGAGUCGGCCUGCGCGGAAGAUGUAACGGGGCUAAACCAUGCACCGAAGCUGCGGCAGCGACGCUGAUGUGUUGUUGGGUAGGGGAGCGUUCUGUAAGCCUGCGAAGGUGUGCUGUGAGGCAUGCUGGAGGUAUCAGAAGUGCGAAUGCUGACAUAAGUAACGAUAAAGCGGGUGAAAAGCCCGCUCGCCGGAAGACCAAGGGUUCCUGUCCAACGUUAAUCGGGGCAGGGUGAGUCGACCCCUAAGGCGAGGCCGAAAGGCGUAGUCGAUGGGAAACAGGUUAAUAUUCCUGUACUUGGUGUUACUGCGAAGGGGGGACGGAGAAGGCUAUGUUGGCCGGGCGACGGUUGUCCCGGUUUAAGCGUGUAGGCUGGUUUUCCAGGCAAAUCCGGAAAAUCAAGGCUGAGGCGUGAUGACGAGGCACUACGGUGCUGAAGCAACAAAUGCCCUGCUUCCAGGAAAAGCCUCUAAGCAUCAGGUAACAUCAAAUCGUACCCCAAACCGACACAGGUGGUCAGGUAGAGAAUACCAAGGCGCUUGAGAGAACUCGGGUGAAGGAACUAGGCAAAAUGGUGCCGUAACUUCGGGAGAAGGCACGCUGAUAUGUAGGUGAAGUCCCUCGCGGAUGGAGCUGAAAUCAGUCGAAGAUACCAGCUGGCUGCAACUGUUUAUUAAAAACACAGCACUGUGCAAACACGAAAGUGGACGUAUACGGUGUGACGCCUGCCCGGUGCCGGAAGGUUAAUUGAUGGGGU
rnacentral:rRNA from 1 species